AUUGAACGCUGGCGGAAUGCUUUACACAUGCAAGUCGAACGGUAGAGGGGGCAACCCCUCGAGAGUGGCGAACGGGUGAGUAAUAUAUCGGAACGUGCCCAGUCGUGGGGGAUAACGUAGCGAAAGUUAUGCUAAUACCGCAUACGAUCUAAGGAUGAAAGCGGGGGAUCGCAAGACCUCGCGCGAUUGGAGCGGCCGAUAUCAGAUUAGGUAGUUGGUGGGGUAAGGGUUCACCAAGCCAACGAUCUGUAGCUGGUCUGAGAGGACGACCAGCCACACUGGAACUGAGACACGGUCCAGACUCCUACGGGAGGCAGCAGUGGGGAAUUUUGGACAGUGGACGCAAGUCUGAUCCAGCCAUUCCGCGUGCAGGAUGAAGGCCCUCGGGUUGUAAACUGCUUUUGUACGGAACGAAAAGGUCUCUCUUAAUACGGGGGACUCAUGACGGUACCGUAAGAAUAAGCACCGGCUAACUACGUGCCAGCCGCCGCUGUAA
rnacentral:rRNA from 1 species